rnacentral:rRNA from 1 species
UACGUAGGGUGCGAGCGUUGUCCGGAAUUAUUGGGCGUAAAGGGCUCGUAGGCGGUUUGUCGCGUCGGGAGUGAAAACCUUGGGCUUAACUCAGGGCUUGCUUUCGAUACGGGCAGACUAGAGGUAUGCAGGGGAGAACGGAAUUCCUGGUGUAGCGGUGAAAUGCGCAGAUAUCAGGAGGAACACCAAUGGCGAAGGCAGCUCACUGGCCCGAUACUGACGCUGAGGCGCGAAAGCGUGGGGAGCAAACAGG